rnacentral:rRNA from 1 species
AACAGACGAGGAGCUUGCUCCUCUGACGUUAGCGGCGGACGGGUGAGUAACACGUGGAUAACCUACCUAUAAGACUGGGAUAACUUCGGGAAACCGGAGCUAAUGCCGGAUAAUAUAUUGAACCGCAUGGUUCAAUAGUGAAAGACGGUUUUGCUGUCACUUAUAGAUGGAUCCGCGCCGCAUUAGCUAGUUGGUAAGGUAACGGCUUACCAAGGCAACGAUGCGUAGCCGACCUGAGAGGGUGAUCGGCCACACUGGAACUGAGACACGGUCCAGACUCCUACGGGAGGCAGCAGUAGGGAAUCUUCCGCAAUGGGCGAAAGCCUGACGGAGCAACGCCGCGUGAGUGAUGAAGGUCUUCGGAUCGUAAAACUCUGUUAUUAGGGAAGAACAAAUGUGUAAGUAACUAUGCACGUCUUGACGGUACCUAAUCAGAAAGCCACGGCUAACUACGUGCCAGCAGCCGCGGUAAUACGUAGGUGGCAAGCGUUAUCCGGAAUUAUUGGGCGUAAAGCGCGCGUAGGCGGUUUUUUAAGUCUGAUGUGAAAGCCCACGGCUCAACCGUGGAGGGUCAUUGGAAACUGGAAAACUUGAGUGCAGAAGAGGAAAGUGGAAUUCCAUGUGUAGCGGUGAAAUGCGCAGAGAUAUGGAGGAACACCAGUGGCGAAGGCGACUUUCUGGUCUGUAACUGACGCUGAUGUGCGAAAGCGUGGGGAUCAAAC